rnacentral:rRNA from 1 species
UAUUUUAAAGAGAGUUUGAUCCUGGCUCAGGACGAACGCUGGCGGCGUGCCUAAUACAUGCAAGUCGAACGAACGGAGGAAGAGCUUGCUCUUCCAAAGUUAGUGGCGGACGGGUGAGUAACACGUGGGCAACCUGCCUGUAAGUUGGGGAUAACUCCGGGAAACCGGGGCUAAUACCGAAUGAUAGAAUGUGGCGCAUGCCACGCUUUUGAAAGAUGGUUUCGG